GGUCAAGUUAUUAAGGGUGCAGGGCGGAUGCCUUGGCACUAGGAGCCGAUGAAGGACGUGAUAAGCUGCGAUAAGCUUCGGGGAGUUGCACGUAAACUUUGAUCCGAAGAUUUCCGAAUGAGGAAACUCACUUAGAGUAAUGUCUAAGUAUCAUUAAGUGAAUACAUAGCUUAAUGAGGGGAACUCAGGGAACUGAAACAUCUAAGUACCUGAAGGAAGAGAAAGAAAUUCGAUUCCGUAAGUAGCGGCGAGCGAACGCGGAUUAGCCCAAACCAAUAAAGUUUUCUUUAUUGGGGUUGCGGACAUAUCAUAACGAAGAGGUAUCGUAAUUGAAGAGGUUUGGAAAGACCCACCACAGAAGGUAAUAGUCCUGUAUGUUAAACGAGAAGACUUUAGAUAUGAUCCAGAGUACCACGGGACACGUGAAACCCUGUGGGAAGCAGGAGGGACCACCCUCCAAGGCUAAAUACUACCUAGUGACCGAUAGCGUAUAGUACCGUGAGGGAAAGGUGAAAAGAACCCCGGGAGGGGAGUGAAAUAGAACCUGAAACCCUGCACUUACAAGCUGUGGAAGCACAUUUCUUGUGUGACCGCGUACUUUUUGUAGAACGGGCCAACGAGUUACGUUAAGUAGCAAGGUUAAGCACUUAAGGUGCGGAGCCGUAGCGAAAGCGAGUUUUAACUGAGCGUUCAGUUACUUGACGUAGACCCGAAACCGGGCGACCUACCCAUGAGCAGGAUGAAGCGAAAGUAAAAUUUCGUGGAGGUCCGAACCCACGAGCGUUGAAAAGCUCGGGGAUGACUUGUGGGUAGCGGUGAAAUUCCAAUCGAGCCCGGAGAUAGCUGGUUCUCCCCGAAAUAGCUUUAGGGCUAGCCUCAAGGUGAGAGAUACGGAGGUAGAGCACUGAAUGUCCUAGGGGGUAUUGCACCUACCGAAGACUAUCAAACUCCGAAUGCCGUCAUCUUAUACUUGGGAGUCAGACUGUGGGUGAUAAGAUUCAUAGUCGAAAGGGCAACAGCCCAGAUCGUCAGCUAAGGUCCCUAAAUGUAAGUUAAGUGGUAAAGGAUGUGGGAUUGCACAGACAACCAGGAUGUUGGCUUAGAAGCAGCCACUCAUUCAAAGAGUGCGUAAUAGCUCACUGGUCGAGUGAUCCUGCGCCGAAGAUUUCCGGGGCUAAAACUUACUACCGAAGCUACGGCAUCAGUAAUGAUGGGUAGGGGAGCUUCCCAUACGGGUUGAAGCAUGACCGUAAGGACAUGUGGACAGUAUGGGAGUGAGAAUGUUGGCAUGAGUAGCGAGAUGUGGGUGAGAAUCCCACAGGCCGUAAACCCAAGGUUUCCAGGGGAAGGUUCGUCCGCCCUGGGUUAGUCGGGACCUAAGCUGAGGCCGAAAGGCGUAGGUGAUGGACAACAGGUUGAUAUUCCUGUACUACCGAUAACCGUUUGAGAGAAGGGAUGACACAGUAGGAUAAGCUAAGCACACUGUUGGUUAUGUGUGCCCAAGCAUUGAGGCAGUCAAAGUAGGCAAAUCCGCUUUGAUAAUGCUGGGAUGUGAUGGGGAGCGAAAUUUAGUAGCGAAGUAGCUGAUUUCACACUGUCAAGAAAAGUCUCUAUCGAGGUUAAAGGUACCCGUACCGCAAACCGACACAGGUGGGUGAGGAGAGUAUCCUAAGGCCAGCGAGAGAACUGUUGUUAAGGAACUCGGCAAAAUGACCCCGUAACUUAGGGAUAAGGGGUGCCACCAUCAGGUGGCCGCAGAGAAUAGGCCCAAGCGACUGUUUACCAAAAACAUAGGUUUCUGCUAAGUCGCAAGACGAUGUAUAGGAGCUGACGCCUGCCCGGUGCUGGAAGGUUAAGGGGAUCUGUUAGAGCAAUCGAAGCAGUGAACUUAAGCCCCAGUAAACGGCGGCCGUAACUAUAACGGUCCUAAGGUAGCGAAAUUCCUUGUCGGGUAAGUUCCGACCCGCACGAAAGGCGUAACGAUUUGGGCACUGUCUCAACAACAGACUCGGUGAAAUUGUAAUUCCGGUGAAGAUGCCGGAUACCUGCGACAGGACGGAAAGACCCCAUGGAGCUUUACUGUAGCUUGACAUUGGGUCUUGGUACUACAUGUACAGGAUAGGUGGGAGGCUUUGAAACCAGGACGCCAGUUUUGGCGGAGCCAUCCUUGGGAUACCACCCUUGUAGUACUGGGACUCUAACCAUAGGCCAUGAAUCUGGUCUUGGGACACUGUCAGGUGGGCAGUUUGACUGGGGCGGUCGCCUCCCAAAAGGUAACGGAGGCGCUCAAAGGUUCUCUCAGUACGGUCGGAAAUCGUACGUAGAGUGUAAAGGCAAAAGAGAGCUUGAUUGCAAGACAUACAGGUCGAGCAAGGAUGAAAAUCGGACUUAGUGAUCCGGUGGUUCUGCGUGGAAGGGCCAUCGCUCAACGGAUAAAAGCUACCCUGGGGAUAACAGGCUUAUCUCCCCCAAGAGUCCACAUCGACGGGGAGGUUUGGCACCUCGAUGUCGGCUCAUCACAUCCUGGGGCUGUAGUAGGUCCCAAGGGUUGGGCUGUUCGCCCAUUAAAGUGGUACGCGAGCUGGGUUCAGAACGUCGUGAGACAGUUCGGUCCCUAUCCGUCGCAGGCGUAGGAAAUUUGAGAAGACCUGUCCUUAGUACGAGAGGACCGGGAUGGACGUACCUCUGGUGUACCAGUUGUUCUGCCAAGGGCAUGGCUGGGUAGCUAUGUACGGAAUGGAUAAGCGCUGAAAGCAUCUAAGCGCGAAGCCAACUUCAAGAUAAGAUUUCCCACCGUAAGGGUAAGACCCCAGAAAGACUAUCUGGUUGAUAGGUCGAAGGUGUAAGUGCAGCAAUGUAUUUAGCUUAUCGAUACUAAUAGGUCGAGGACUUGACCAA
rnacentral:rRNA from 1 species